AGCAGCAUGGCCUAGUGGCAAAAGCACGGGCUUGGGAGUCAGAGGACGUGGGUUCUAAUCCCGGUUCUGCUA
rfam:Ornithorhynchus anatinus chromosome 5, whole genome shotgun sequence.